GUAACUUAUCCCUACUUAAAGGAACCUGCUGACAGCACGUGCUCUAGCAGCACAGAAGAACAGCCACGUGAGAAUUGGAGACAUUAAUCUCAAGGUCAGUUUCCUCUGGCUGACUAAUCUCAGAGGCAAGACUUCAGAGAAACAAGAGAUGCCGGUAUUGGUAUCAACAUCCAUGCGAUUGUGUCGUGCUGACACCGUGUCAGUAAGCAAAGCUGUGCAGAGAUGCGUCCAGAUCAGGAAGCUGGGUCCUACAAUAUAUAGGCUAUCACAGAAAAUGGCCGCUGGCUUAGACUUAGUGGCCAGUUACCCUGUGAAACUCCUCUCUGUAAGUGACACUUCUCUCAUUUUGAAAAGUGGCAGUUCCCCGCAACAGCACCCCCUUCUUUGUUCCACAGGCAGUAUUUAUCAAUACGUCAUCUCUGUGGAAACAUUUCACUGCAGCCCUGCUCUCUGUUAGAUUACAGUCAGGCAGGAGGAGAUAAGGGACGGCUGUUAAUUAGUCUUUCAUCCCACAAGAUUGUUAUUGAUUAGAGAUUGGCAGCCUGUAAGAGGUUAUUGAGUGGGACACACAACGAAGUUGCUGUCUCUGGUGGCCACUGCCUUUUGGAUUUUUUUGAAGUUCUCCACUUUUCCCAAAUGACUUGUGGUUUAUAAAUACUAAAGUUUAGACCCUGGCAGUUUAUCAUAAACCUUUGUCCUCCCUCUUCACCUUCUAGGCUACGUCAGGAUGUCUCCUUCCCUAGCCAGAAUGAAAUGGAAGGAUACGCCCUAAGAUAGAUGCGCAUUUGAGAUACUCACCUAUUAGAAGUUUCCUAGACUCUAUGUGAUCUCUUGAAUCCCUGUAAAAAAAAAAAUCCACUCAAAAACUAGCUUAUCCCAAAUUAUUAUUCCUACCAGUCCCCAGGAAACUCGUGGUAGACGUUCCCUUCUCCUAAACAUCACAUUGUCAGUUACAGGAUAAGGACUUGUCUCAGUAUUGUUAUUGAAGUGC
rnacentral:lncRNA from 1 species